GCCCUUGUAUUAUGUGUGCGGUAUCGGAAACGACUGUAAGCGCUGUUGUAGGCGUUAGAAACACUACUUUGCAAGGGUUU
rnacentral:sRNA from 22 species